rnacentral:rRNA from 1 species
UACGGGGGGGGCAAGCGUUGUUCGGAAUUACUGGGCGUAAAGGGCGCGUAGGCGGCCUGCUAAGUCGAUCGUGAAAUCCCCGGGCUUAACCCGGGAACUGCGACCGAUACUGGUUGGCUUGAAUUCGGGAGAGGGAUGCGGAAUUCCAGGUGUAGCGGUGAAAUGCGUAGAUAUCUGGAGGAACACCGGUGGCGAAGGCGGCAUCCUGGACCGGCAUUGACGCUGAGGCGCGAAAGCCAGGGGAGCAAACGGG